rnacentral:rRNA from 1 species
AGUGAACGCUGGCGGCAUGCCUAAUACAUGCAAGUCGAACGGAGUGGCGCACGGGUGAGUAAUAUAUAGUUAAUCUGCCCUACACGGAGGGACAAACGAUGGAAACGACUGCUAAUACCCCAUAGUGUAGGAUGAGGCUAUAUCGUAUCAGCUAGUUGGUAAGGCAAUGGCUUACCAAGGCUAUGACGCGUAACUGGUCUGAGAGGAUGAUCAGUCAACUUCGAACUGAGACACGGUCCAAACUCCUACGGGAGGGAGCAGUAAGGAAUAUUGCGCAAGGGGGGAAAGCCUGAAGCAGCAUCGCCGUGUGGAGGAUGAUACUUUUCGGAGCGUAAACUCCUUUUAUCAGGAAAGCGGUACCUGAUGAAGAAGCACCGGCUAACUCCGUGCCAGCAGCCGCGGUAAUAC